rnacentral:rRNA from 1 species
UACGGGGGGGGCAAGCGUUGUUCGGAAUUACUGGGCGUAAAGGGCUCGUAGGCGGCCAACUAAGUCGGAUGUGAAAUCCCCAAGCUUAACUUGGGAACUGCAUCCGAUACUGGAUGGCUUGAAUCCGGGAGAGGGAUGCAGAAUUCCAGGUGUAGCGGUGAAAUGCGUAGAUAUCUGGAGGAAUACCGGUGGCGAAGGCGGCAUCCUGGACCGGCAUUGACGCUGAGGAGCGAAAGCUAGGGGAGCAAACGGGG